UACGUAGGGGGCAAGCGUUGUCCGGAAUUAUUGGGCGUAAAGAGCGUGUAGGCGGUCCGGUAAGUCAGCUGUGAAAGUCAAGGGCUCAACCCUUGAAAGCCGGUUGAUACUGUCGGGCUAGAGUCCGGAAGAGGCGAGUGGAAUUCCCGGUGUAGCGGUGAAAUGGCGCAGAUAUCGGGAGGAACACCAAUGGCGAAGGCAGCUCGCUGGGACGGUACUGACGCUGAGACGCGAAAGCGUGGGGAGCAAACAGG
rnacentral:rRNA from 1 species